CCUACGGGUGGCAGCAGUGAGGAAUAUUGGUCAAUGGACGCGAGUCUGAACCAGCCAAGUCGCGUGAAGGAUGACUGCCCUAUGGGUUGUAAACUUCUUUUAUAUGGGAAUAAACCAGGGUAUGCAUACCCGCUUUUAUGUACCAUAUGAAUAAGGAUCGGCUAACUCCGGUCCAGCAGCCGCGGUAAUACGGAGGAUCCGAGCGUUUUUCGGAUUUAUUGGGGUUCAAGGGUGCGUAGGUGGGUUGUUAAGUGAGUGGUGAAAGGGUGCGGCUCAACCCUAAAAUUGCAGUUGAAACUGGCAGUCUUGAGUAGAGUAGAGGUGGGCGGAAUGCGUGGUGUAGCGGUGAAAUGCUUAGAUAUCACGCAGAACUCCGAUUGCGAAGGCAGCUUACCGGACUGCAACUGACACUGAUGCACGAAAGUGUGGGUAUCAAACAGGAUUAGAUACCCUGGUAGUC
rnacentral:rRNA from 1 species